rnacentral:rRNA from 1 species
UACGUAGGGUGCAAGCGUUAAUCGGAACUACUGGGCGUAAAGCGUGCGCAGGCGGUUAUGUAAGACAGAUGUGAAAUCCCCGGGCUCAACCUGGGAACUGCAUUUGUGACUGCAUAGCUAGAGUACGGUAGAGGGGGAUGGAAUUCCGCGUGUAGCAGUGAAAUGCGUAGAUAUGCGGAGGAACACCGAUGGCGAAGGCAAUCCCCUGGACCUGUACUGACGCUCAUGCACGAAAGCGUGGGGAGCAAACAGG